rnacentral:lncRNA from 1 species
GAGAAAUAAUUGAAGAAGCGGAGGAAUACAAAGCAGGAAAUAAACUGUAAGUUGCAUUCUUCUUUCAUUUCACAUGGCUGAAAAUGAUAAUAUUGGUAAAGUAGCCGAUACUCGACAGUUUCAAAACAAAGGAGAAAACGAUCUCGGGCAUGGGAUUUUUUUGAAGAAAAAGUUGAUGCUAAAGGAAAUAAUAAAUAUGCAUGUAGAUUUUGUGGACAAGAAUAUUUUGUGACAAAAGGCAAAAGUACGACACAUGAAUGGUCAUAUUGAUAAAUGUCCAAAGAAUCCUUAUAAAGUUGAAAAAGGUCAAAAACAAUUACAAUUUCAAACAUUACCGGGAGGUAAUAAAGGUGAUCUUAUUCCAUGAAAAUUUGAUCAAGAAGAGUGUAGGUUGGCUUUGUGUCGUAUGGCGAUUGUUGAUGAACUUCCGUUUAGUUUUGUUGAGAAGGAAGGCUUUAGGAAAUUUAUGAAAGUAUGAAUUACCGUUUAGUUUUGUUGAAAAGGAAGGAUUUAGAAACUUUAUGAAAGUCGCACAACCUUCUUUUCAUUUUCCUUCCCAUACUACUGUUACACAGGAUUGUUUUGCUCUUUUAAUGUGGAAAAAAAUAAAUUAAUGAAGUUUCUUAAAGGAACAAGUCAAAGAGUAAGUCUAACCACCGAUACAUGGACUUCUAUUCAAAAAAUUAACUAUAUGUGCAUCACAGCUCAUUGGAUUGAUAGUGAAUGGAUUAUGCAUAAAGAAUUAUUAACUUUUCUACAAUAUAUACUACAAGAAAUGAAGAAAAUAUAUAAGGGAAUAAAUAUAUACAAAAUAUAUAAUAUAUACUAAUUAGUACACCACAAUAUAUACAUAAUAUAUAACAUAUAUUAAUUAAUGCAACACAAUAUUCAAUGGAAUAUAUAUUAUAUAUUAUAUGUACUAUAAUAAUAACCUUAAUAUCAAUUAUAUACU